CACUGCUACAGGAAGCUAAUGGAGUCCCUCAGAAAUUAAUCACAACCUUCUCAGGGGUGUGAGAGUGGUGCUUGUUUUUGGGAUACCUUUCUGAAGAAUCUUCUUGAAGUCACCUGUGUUUUCUCCAUCACAGACCAAAGUACAUGUCAGGUACAUUGAUACAGUUCUAGAGAAGGUCAUUCCAAAAGCUUUGGGAGCAGUUGUUAUGGAACUAAACAGAGGUGAUGUGGAGGCUCUCCUGAAGAGUGAAAGACUGAGGCCUCUUCCAGGGUAACCCUUACUCGACACUCACAAGAUGUUACUACUCUUGCUCCAAAGUAGUUACAACUCCCAAGAUCCAUACCUUAGACCAAGCCCACUCUCAAAUGUACAACUGUCAAACGUCCAGAAGUGACACAGCAUCCCAAAACUGUGCCAGGUAUGCCAGAGGACUUGCUAAACCAAGUGGUGGCCCAACAAGCCACUUUAAUUUCUCAGUAUUUGAAGCAACCAUCCAACAGGGCAUGUUUUGUUCCCAGACCUGGAACAUACUGCUUUUUCAAUCCUCAAAGAUCUGAAUGAUUGCACUCUGCUUCAAGCAAACACCUGAUCAGGCACUCAAUUCUGAGAACAGUGGAAUUCUGCUUCCUCUCAUCUUCCCAGAAGCACAGCUGUGCACUAACAGAUGCACAUUCAUCACAAGCACACCCAGGGCAGGCCAUCUCAGUCUGAGAAGAGAGGACUCUGCAGAGAAUGUGACUUAAACUACCUUCUGGAUAGAAGUCCCAGUGCCCCUGCAAAGCCCUGGAGAACCACUGUGGUACUACCUUCAACCUUCGCCAUGUGU